UACGGAGGGGGCUAGCGUUGUUCGGAAUUACUGGGCGUAAAGCGCACGUAGGCGGCUUUGUAAGUUAGAGGUGAAAGCCCGGGGCUCAACUCCGGAAUUGCCUUUAAGACUGCAUCGCUAGAAUUGUGGAGAGGUAAGUGGAAUUCCGAGUGUAGAGGUGAAAUUCGUAGAUAUUCGGAAGAACACCAGUGGCGAAGGCGACUUACUGGACACAUAUUGACGCUGAGAGACGAAAGCUAGGGGAGCGAAUGGG
rnacentral:rRNA from 1 species